AAGCUCGUAGUUGAACCUUGGGCCUGGCUGGCCGGUCCGCCUCACCGCGUGUACUGGUCCGGCCGGGCCUUUCCCUCUGUGGAACCCCAUGCCCUUCACUGGGUGUGGCGGGGAAACAGGACUUUUACUUUGAAAAAAUUAGAGUGCUCCAGGCAGGCCUAUGCUCGAAUACAUUAGCAUGGAAUAAUNNNAUAGGACGUGUGGUUCUAUUUUGUUGGUUUCUAGGACCGCCGUAAUGAUUAAUAGGGACAGUCGGGGGCAUCAGUAUUCAAUUGUCAGAGGUGAAAUUCUUGGAUUUAUUGAAGACUAACUACUGCGAAAGCAUUUGCCAAGGAUGUUUUCAUUAAUCAGGAACGAAAGUUAGGGGAUCGAAGACGAUCAGAUACCGUCGUAGUCUUAACCAUAAACUAUGCCGACUAGGGAUCGGACGAUGUU
rnacentral:rRNA from 1 species